CCAGACUCCUACGGGAGGCAGCAGUGAGGAAUAUUGGUCAAUGGGCGAGAGCCUGAACCAGCCAAGUCGCGUGAGGGAGUACUGCCCUAUGGGUUGUAAACCUCUUUUGUCGGGGAGCAAAAGCCGGACGUGUCCGGCUGUGAGAGUACCCGAAGAAAAAGCAUCGGCUAACUCCGUGCCAGCAGCCGCGGUAAUACGGAGGAUGCGAGCGUUAUCCGGAUUUAUUGGGUUUAAAGGGUGCGUAGGCGGACAGUCAAGUCAGCGGUAAAAAUGCGGUGCUCAACGCCGUACAGCCGUUGAAACUGGCAGUCUUGAGUGGGCGAGAAGUAUGCGGAAUGCGUGGUGUAGCGGUGAAAUGCAUAGAUAUCACGCAGAACUCCGAUUGCGAAGGCAGCAUACCGGCGCCCGACUGACGCUGAGGCACGAAAGCGUGGGUAUCGAACAGGAUUAGAUACCCGAGUA
rnacentral:rRNA from 1 species